UACGUAGGGUGCGAGCGUUGUCCGGAAUUAUUGGCGUAAAGAGCGUGUAGGCGGCCAGACAGGUCCGUUGUGAAACUCGAGGCUCAACCUCGAGACGCCGAUGGAAACCGUCUGGCUAGAGUCCGGAAGAGGAGAGUGGAAUUCCUGGUGUAGCGGUGAAUGACGCAGAUAUCAGGAAGAACACCCGUGGCUAAGGCGGCUCUCUAGUACGGUACUGACGCUGAGACGCGAAAGCGUGGGGAGCGAACAGG
rnacentral:rRNA from 1 species